rnacentral:lncRNA from 1 species
AAAGGGUAAAUAAAGAAGCAAGUAAGUUAGCAGAAGAAUCAAACAAAAAAUCAAGAAAGCAAAUAAACAAUGACGUAUGGAAGAAAUUAUGCAUGUAUACAGUAUGAAAGUAGGUAUAUAUGAAUGCAUGUAUGUAUUUAUGUAUGUAUGUUUUGUAUUUUUAAGUGAUUGCGCAGAACCCAUGUAUGGAGGUUUGAGAUACACCACAUUAGAAUUUGAAAUCGGUUGAUGCAGAAGAAAAUAGACCUACAAGAUAAAAAUAAAUGAGUAAGCCAACACCAAAAUCAGACUUGGAACUUGGAGAAUCAAAACAGACUAACAGAGACAUGAAAGGAAACCACCAACCUGCAGAAUUUCAAGUGACCAGUGUUUUCUUCAUGAAACAGAGAUGUGGUUACUCUGAAACAUUGAUUCAAAUCCAAAGUUAUACAAUAUAAAGAGGGUGAUAAAUCCAUACUUCACCAAAGAA